ACCUGGCUGGUUCAGUCAGUAGAGCAUGUGACUCUUGAUCUCAGGCUGUGAGUUCAAGCCCCAUGUUGGGUG
rfam:Canis lupus familiaris chromosome 6, whole genome shotgun sequence.